AGCGUACACGGUGGAUGCCCUGGCAGUCAGAGGCGAUGAAGGGCGUGCUAAUCUGCGAUAAGCGCCGGUAAGGUGAUAUGAACCGUUAUAACCGGCGAUACCCGAAUGGGGAAACCCAGUGUGACUCGUCACACUAUCAUUAACUGAAUCCAUAGGUUAAUGAGGCGAACCGGGGGAACUGAAACAUCUAAGUACCCCGAGGAAAAGAAAUCAACCGAGAUUCCCCCAGUAGCGGCGAGCGAACGGGGAGGAGCCCAGAGCCUGAAUCAGCAUGUGUGUUAGUGGAAGCGUCUGGAAAGGCGCGCGAUACAGGGUGACAGCCCCGUACACAAAAGCGCAUGUGCUGUGAGCUCGAUGAGUAGGGCGGGACACGUGGUAUCCUGUCUGAAUAUGGGGGGACCAUCCUCCAAGGCUAAAUACUCCUGACUGACCGAUAGUGAACCAGUACCGUGAGGGAAAGGCGAAAAGAACCCCGGCGAGGGGAGUGAAAAAGAACCUGAAACCGUGUACGUACAAGCAGUGGGAGCACCCUUCGGGGUGUGACUGCGUACCUUUUGUAUAAUGGGUCAGCGACUUAUAUUCUGUAGCAAGGUUAACCGUAUAGGGGAGCCGGAGGGAAACCGAGUCUUAACCGGGCGUUAAGUUGCAGGGUAUAGACCCGAAACCCGGUGAUCUAGCCAUGGGCAGGUUGAAGGUUGGGUAACACUAACUGGAGGACCGAACCGACUAAUGUUGAAAAAUUAGCGGAUGACCUGUGGCUGGGGGUGAAAGGCCAAUCAAACCGGGAGAUAGCUGGUUCUCCCCGAAAGCUAUUUAGGUAGCGCCUCGUGAAUUCAUCUCCGGGGGUAGAGCACUGUUUCGGCUAGGGGGCCAUCCCGGCUUACCAACCCGAUGCAAACUGCGAAUACCGGAGAAUGUUAUCACGGGAGACACACGGCGGGUGCUAACGUCCGUCGUGAAGAGGGAAACAACCCAGACCGCCAGCUAAGGUCCCAAAGUCAUGGUUAAGUGGGAAACGAUGUGGGAAGGCCCAGACAGCCAGGAUGUUGGCUUAGAAGCAGCCAUCAUUUAAAGAAAGCGUAAUAGCUCACUGGUCGAGUCGGCCUGCGCGGAAGAUGUAACGGGGCUAAACCAUGCACCGAAGCUGCGGCAGCGACACUGUGUGUUGUUGGGUAGGGGAGCGUUCUGUAAGCCUGUGAAGGUGGCCUGUGAGGGUUGCUGGAGGUAUCAGAAGUGCGAAUGCUGACAUAAGUAACGAUAAAGCGGGUGAAAAGCCCGCUCGCCGGAAGACCAAGGGUUCCUGUCCAACGUUAAUCGGGGCAGGGUGAGUCGACCCCUAAGGCGAGGCCGAAAGGCGUAGUCGAUGGGAAACGGGUUAAUAUUCCCGUACUUGGUGUUACUGCGAAGGGGGGACGGAGAAGGCUAUGUUGGCCGGGCGACGGUUGUCCCGGUUUAAGCGUGUAGGUGUGUGUUCCAGGUAAAUCCGGUUCACUUUAACACUGAGGCGUGACGACGAGGCACUACGGUGCUGAAGCAACAAAUGCCCUGCUUCCAGGAAAAGCCUCUAAGCAUCAGGUAACAUCAAAUCGUACCCCAAACCGACACAGGUGGUCAGGUAGAGAAUACCAAGGCGCUUGAGAGAACUCGGGUGAAGGAACUAGGCAAAAUGGUGCCGUAACUUCGGGAGAAGGCACGCUGACACGUAGGUGAAGUGAUUUACUCAUGGAGCUGAAGUCAGUCGAAGAUACCAGCUGGCUGCAACUGUUUAUUAAAAACACAGCACUGUGCAAACACGAAAGUGGACGUAUACGGUGUGACGCCUGCCCGGUGCCGGAAGGUUAAUUGAUGGGGUCAGCGCAAGCGAAGCUCCUGAUCGAAGCCCCGGUAAACGGCGGCCGUAACUAUAACGGUCCUAAGGUAGCGAAAUUCCUUGUCGGGUAAGUUCCGACCUGCACGAAUGGCGUAAUGAUGGCCAGGCUGUCUCCACCCGAGACUCAGUGAAAUUGAACUCGCUGUGAAGAUGCAGUGUACCCGCGGCAAGACGGAAAGACCCCGUGAACCUUUACUAUAGCUUGACACUGAACAUUGAGCCUUGAUGUGUAGGAUAGGUGGGAGGCUUUGAAGUGUGGACGCCAGUCUGCAUGGAGCCGACCUUGAAAUACCACCCUUUAAUGUUUGAUGUUCUAACGUGGACCCGUAAUCCGGGUUGCGGACAGUGUCUGGUGGGUAGUUUGACUGGGGCGGUCUCCUCCUAAAGAGUAACGGAGGAGCACGAAGGUUGGCUAAUCCUGGUCGGACAUCAGGAGGUUAGUGCAAUGGCAUAAGCCAGCUUGACUGCGAGCGUGACGGCGCGAGCAGGUGCGAAAGCAGGUCAUAGUGAUCCGGUGGUUCUGAAUGGAAGGGCCAUCGCUCAACGGAUAAAAGGUACUCCGGGGAUAACAGGCUGAUACCGCCCAAGAGUUCAUAUCGACGGCGGUGUUUGGCACCUCGAUGUCGGCUCAUCACAUCCUGGGGCUGAAGUAGGUCCCAAGGGUAUGGCUGUUCGCCAUUUAAAGUGGUACGCGAGCUGGGUUUAGAACGUCGUGAGACAGUUCGGUCCCUAUCUGCCGUGGGCGCUGGAGAACUGAGGGGGGCUGCUCCUAGUACGAGAGGACCGGAGUGGACGCAUCACUGGUGUUCGGGUUGUCAUGCCAAUGGCACUGCCCGGUAGCUAAAUGCGGAAGAGAUAAGUGCUGAAAGCAUCUAAGCACGAAACUUGCCCCGAGAUGAGUUCU
rnacentral:rRNA from 2 species